rnacentral:rRNA from 1 species
UUGAACGCUGGCGGCAGGCCUAACACAUGCAAGUCGAACGGUAACAGGAAGCAGCUUGCUGCUUUGCUGACGAGUGGCGGACGGGUGAGUAAUGUCUGGGAAACUGCCCGGUGGAGGGGGAUAACUACUGGAAACGGUAGCUAAUACCGCAUAACGUCGCAAGACCAAAGAGGGGGACCUUAGGGCCUCUUGCCAUCGGAUGUGCCCAGAUGGGAUUAGCUAGUAGGUGGGGUAACGGCUCACCUAGGCGACGAUCCCUAGCUGGUCUGAGAGGAUGACCAGCCACACUGGAACUGAGACACGGUCCAGACUCCUACGGGAGGCAGCAGUGGGGAAUAUUGCACAAUGGGCGCAAGCCUGAUGCAGCCAUGCCGCGUGUAUGAAGAAGGCCUUCGGGUUGUAAAGUACUUUCAGCGGGGAGGAAGGGAGUAAAGUUAAUACCUUUGCUCAUUGACGUUACCCGCAGAAGAAGCACCGGCUAACUCCGUG